CACACACCGUUGAGCCCACAGAGGCCCAGCGAGAGGGCGCCACGUGGCGGAGCCAGCUGAAGCUGCAGCCUGGGGCCCGACGGGUCGUGAGGAAGGACGCGGCCACACUGUCACGAGGAAAUGCGGGCCAAGGUUUGCAAGGUCAAAAGGUUCAAGUGAGCAGUUAUUGGUAGCUUUUAGCAUCAUGUCAACUAGUUAUCAACUGAUUGCUUCUGAGCUCCACGUUCACCCUGAAGGACCUGCUCUGCACUAACAGACUAGACUCAGGCAUUUCUCUUUUCCUGUGAGCGCACUGUCAAACCCCUCCCCAGAGGGCGCUGGAGGGACCUUGUAGGAGGAAAGGGGCAUCUCCUCCUGGUUCCUUUUUGCUGCAUUUUGCUUUCUCUUGCCCUUGCUGCACAGUCUAACAGCCAUGAGCAUGAGAUUGAAGGCAUCUCCGUGAGUGGUGCUCUGCCGCCACCAUGCAUAGUCCCUUGGCUAUGACAAUGUCACAGACCGGACCUGGGCCCAGGAACCACCUGCCGCCCAUCUUCCCAGAAGCAGACCCCAGGCCGCAGGCCAGCAGUAGCUCCCUACCUCUGUUUGCACAUCUACCCGCCAGCCUCUGCUCACUUGGGCUCCAGAAGAUUGUUUCCUGCUGCUCUCCUGACAAAGACCUCACCUACGGCCAGGCCACACCACCCUGCCAGCAAGCCAACUUUUGAUGCCUUCUGUGUCCACCUACCCUUGGGUUUAUCAGCGAAGCUGUAAGUUAAAUUACAAAAAUAUUUCAGUCCACUAAA